rnacentral:rRNA from 1 species
AGUGAACGCUGGCGGCGUGCUUAACACAUGCAAGUCGAACGAGAACGGGUUAUAGCUUGCUAUAAUUGUCAGCUAAGUGGCGCACGGGUGAGUAAUGUAUAGGUAAUAUGCCUCUUACUAAGGGAUAACAAAUGGAAACGUUUGCUAAUACCUUAUACUCCUUAUUAACAUAAGUUAAUAAGGGAAAGAUUUAUUGGUAAGAGAUUAGCCUGUAUUGUAUCAGUUAGUUGGUGGGGUAAUGGCUUACCAAGACUAUGACGCAUAACUGGUUUGAGAGGAUGAUCAGUCACACUGGAACGGAGACACGGUCCAGACUCCUACGGGAGGCAGCAGUGGGGAAUAUUGCACAAUGGACGAAAGUCUGAUGCAGCAACGCCGCGUGGAGGAUGACACAUUUCGGUGCGUAAACUCCUUUUAUAUGAGAAGAUAAUGACGGUAUUAUAUGAAUAAGCACCGGCUAACUCCGUGCCAGCCGCCGCCGUAA